GUUGGUAUUGAUUGCAGCGAGGGUCCACCUGUUCCCAUCCCGAACACAGAAGUUAAGCUCGUUUGCGCCGACAAUACUUGGCGGGUGACUGCCCGGGAAGAUAGGUAAUGCCAACA
rnacentral:rRNA from 1 species